AUUGAACGCUGGCGGCAGGCCUAACACAUGCAAGUCGGGCGCGCGGCGGACGGGUGAGUAAUGUAUGGGGAUCUGCCUGAUGGAGGGGGAUAACUUCUGGAAACGGUAUAUAAUCCCGCAUAACAUCAUAUGAACCCAUAUGGGAUUAUCUUGUAGGUAAGGUAACGGCUUAACUAGGCGACGAUCCAUAGCUGGUCGGAGAGGAUGAUCAGACACACUGGGACUGAGACACGGCCCAGACUCCGACGGGAGGCAGCAGUGGGGAAUAUUGCACAAUGGGCGCAAGCCUGAUGCAGCAAUGACGCGUGUAUGAAGAAGGCCGUCGGGUUGUAAAGUACUGGCAGUCGGGAGGCGUUACCGACAGAAGAAGCACCGGCUAACUCCGUGCCAGCCGCCGCGGUAAUAC
rnacentral:rRNA from 1 species